AUGUUGGAGAAGGAAGAAGGUGAAGAGGAAAAAUGGUGGAGGAGAAAGGAAGAAAAGGAAAAAUGGAACACUGAUCCAAGCGUGAAACAGAAAAAUUCAUCUUCUCUUCUUAUAACUCUCUCUUUUUCUCUUUCCACCCUCUCCUUCUCUUUUCAAGAGGGUAUUUGGGAGUACACAGUUUCUUUCUGCAAUUGUAGGAUGAGACGUUAA